rnacentral:rRNA from 1 species
GACGAGGGGUCCUAGCGUUGUUCGGAAUCACUGGGCGUAAAGCGUAUGUAGGCGGCUUUUCAAGUCAGGUGUGAAAUCCCUUGGCUCAACCAAGGAACUGCAUUUGAAACUGUAAAGCUUGAGUAUUGGAGAGGAUGGUAGAAUUCCUGGUGUAGUGGUGAAAUACGUAGAUAUCAGGAGGAACACCGGUGGCGAAGGCGGCUAUCUGGCCAAAUACUGACGCUGAGAUACGAAAGUGCGGGGAUCAAACAGG